rnacentral:lncRNA from 1 species
UAAAGAACUACCUGAGACUGGGUACUUAUGAAACAAAGAGAUUUAAUUGACUCACAGUUCAGCAGGCUGUACAGAAAGCAUGGCUAGGGAGUCCUCAGGAAAUGUACAGUCACGGUGGAAGGCAAAGGGGAAGUAGGCACAUCUUCCCAUGGCAGAGCAGGAGAGAGAGAAAGAGAGAGAGACAGAGAGAGAGAGAGAAGAGGGGAGGUGCUAUACACUUUCAAACAAUCAUAUCUCAUGAGAAUUCUAUCACAAGACAGCACUAGGGGGAUGGUGCUAAACCAUUAGAAACCACCCCCAUGAUCCAAUCACCUCCCACCAGGCCCCACCUCCAUCACUGCGAAUUAUAAUUCGACAUGAGAUUUGGGAGAUGACACAAAACCAAACCAUAUCAGUCUUUAAAGAGUUAAGUUAAAAUAAGCUCUUUAAAGUGGGCCCUAAUCCAGUAUGACUGGUGUUCUUAUAAGAAGAGGAGAUUUGGUCACAGACAUGGUUGCAUGCAGAAUAAAGACUUUUCGAGGACACACUGAGAAGGCAGCCAUCUGCAAAACAAGGAAAGAGUCCUCAGCAGAAACCAGUCCUGCAGACUCCUUGAUCUUGGACUUCCAGCCACUGCAAUUUAAUGGUGCCAAGACCAUCAAUGGGGAAUGGACAGCAUCUUCAAUGAAUGGUGCUGAGAAAACUGGAUAUCUACCUGCUAAAGAACCAACUGGGUCCUUACCUUAUCUUACCUUACCUUAUACUAUAUGUACAAAUCAAUUCAAAUGGAAUAAAGACAUAAAACUAUAAAGCUCCUAGAAGAAAACAUAGGGCAAGAGCUUUAUAACAUUGCAUUUGUCAAUGAUUUCUUGGAUAUGACACCAAAAGCACAAGCAACAAAAGAAAAAAUAGAUAAACUGAACUUCACUGAAAUUGAAGACUUUGUGCCCUAAAGGACCCUUGCAAGAGAGUGAAAAGGCAACCCAAAGAAUGGGAGAAAGUAUUUGCAAAUAACUUUAUCUGGUAAGGAAUUAAUAUCUAGAAUAUAUAAAGAGGUCCUAUAAUUAAAACAAAUGAGCAGCCCAGUUCAAACCUGGUCAAAGGCUCUGAAUAGAUAUUCCUCCAAAGAAGAUAUACAAAUGGCUAAUAAGUACCAAAAGAUGUGCAAUGUCACUAGCCACUAGGGACAUGCAAAUCAAAACCACAACAAGAUACGAUUUCACACUUAUAGGAUUGCCAUUACCAAAAAACAAAAAAUUUAAAAAAAAAACAUAUUGGUAAGGAUGUAAAGACAUUGGAAGCUUUGUACAUUUCUGAUGGGAAGGUAAAAUGGUGCAGUCACUGUGAAAACACUUUGGUAGUUCCCCAAAAAAUUAAACAGAAUUACUAUAUGAUCCAGCAGUUUCACUCGUAGGUAUAUAUCCAAAAGAAAUGAAGAGAGAGAAUCAAACAGACGCCAAUAUUCACAGCAGUAUUAUUCACCAUAGCCAAAAUGUGGAAACAACUCAGAUGUCCACCAACAGAUGACUGAAUAAACAGAAUAUGGUAUAUACAUAGAAUGGAAUAUUAUUCAAGCCUAAAAAGGAAUAAAGUUCUGACACAUGCUACUACAUGAAUGAACCACAAACAUUAUGCUAAGUGAAAUAAGCCAGAUAUAAAAGGACAAAUAUUAUAUGAAUCUACUUACAUGAGGUACCUAGAACGGGCGAAUCCAUAUAGACAGAGGGUCGAAUAGAGAUUACCAGGGGCUGGAGGGAGGAAGGAAUGGGGGUUAAUGUUCAAUAGGUGCAGAGUUUCUGUUUGGGAUGAUUAAAAGUUCUGGAGAUAGAUGACUAUGACGUUUGCACAAAAAUGUAAAUGUACUCAAUGUCAUUGAAUUGUACACUUAAAAGUGUUUAAAAUGGUAAAUGUUAUGUAUAUUUUACCACAAGAAAUAAAAUAUAGACUGGAGGUCCUCAUGUCAUGGAAAAUUGUUUUUCUGUCACUUAGUAUGUAAAGUGGAUGUGUUCUAUUUACUGAAGAGUCUUCGAGAUCAGGGAGGAAAGACAGAAUUCAUAGAAAAGAGACAGCACCUGAAUUUUCCAGUGCCCCCUGCAGCCCUUACUCAUGCUCAUCAAUCUAAGGUUUUCUGCAAUCAAUUUUCUUCUUUCCCCCUUUCAAAUGCUUUUCAUGAUGGCAAAUAAGGAUGUCAAGCUUCAGCACCCUUGCAUCUCUGGAUAAAUGAAAUGUCACCCCAGCUGCCGUCCUUGUUCAGAUCUGUGCAAUAAAGAGCAAAGCAUAAAACCAAGUCAAGGCUUUGAGGGAGUGACCUACAAAAUGCAUAAUGUGAAACAAUGCAAAAGCGAAAGGUGCAAAAUCCCCAUCAAAGAGCUGGAGGCUGACAGAUGCGCCAGUGAUAAUUCCCAUCUUCCAACACAGGAGCACAGCUUCCAUUUUCCAUAACAGAACAACAGCCAGAGCAGCUGGAAGGCAGGGCCGCAUCCCAGACUUCCACCAACAAUGGGAUGAGACUUGACAUCUGGAAUCACAACCACAACAGACCUGAGAGACCCACCAGCUUGAUGACAAGCUUCUUCUUUCAAAGAAAGGUAUCAGUCUGGGGGACCUAGUGCUGCAAACCAUGACAAAUUAAGUGUGGCAUCCCUCACUUGCAUAAUGGAACUCAGUGAUAUUUUUUAAUUAACAAGAGUUAUUUUUAUGUAAGCUUCUCUCAUUCCUCCACUGUGCGUGCUCGGGGGCUGGUGGUGAGGAAAAAGAAAACAGCUGUGCGGGAAGCAUCAAGAAAAGGCAAGUCAUGAAGUCUUAGAGAUCAGUGACAUGUAAGAAAAAGAGUGAGGAGAAAAAUAUUCCUACUAAAGUUUUCCAUUUGUUUACCUUCCUUGUCACAUAGACUUCCAAGAGUUAGAAGUCUAGGAUUUGAUCUCCAAAUCUUCCUGGCAGAUUACUCAUCUUCAUUUCAUUCAUAUAGUCCAGGGGUUUGUACAAAGGAAGAUGCCAGUUCUUCCCCAAUCAUAACUAAGAUAUCAAGAGAUAUUCUUUUGAAAUGUAACAAAGGAGAUCUGAAGUUCAUCUGAAAAAAAUAAAUGGUUUUAGGCGGUCAUGACCAUGGGAUGCUGGACCAGGAUGGUAAGCUUCAGGAAACAGAAUCUGGAGAAUGCCCAGCUGCUCCCACAGGAAGCAUCAGGGAAGAAGAAGAAGAGGUGUGAAGUCUGCCUUCUGCUCUGCUGGGAUCCCUUUCACAUCUCCUUUGCCUCCAGGCAGUUUUGGUUCCUGGCCAUUUCCAGGUGUGACUCACUCAGGAUGGUAAGCAUCUUCUCUCCUACCCAGAGUAGAGGAUGAAGACCUCAUCUCAGAGGUUGAAGGGAGCUCCAGAGAGAGGUCUCAAACUUCCAGCAUUAACUGCUAAAGAAGCUUCAUGAGCUGCUGGAGAACCUGGGAAAUGACCAAUUAUAGGGACAGAGCUCAAAUACUCUGGGACACUCUAGUAGCUGAGAAAGUUCCAACUCCAGGGUGAUAGAGGACUGCCUGGCAAACCAUCAUCAAAGCAGAAGACCUGAUACUAACAUCACAGGCUAUGGUUUAUUACUGAAGAUCAGUGCUUACACCCUGCCAGAGGUUCAGAAGCAAACUUAUCAUUGUUCUCCCUGGAGAUGUUGGCCCACAUUCUGAAAAGUGUGGUCAGUAGUAGCAACAGAAAGCAAUUGUGCUUGCCAAGCACAAUGUCACUGUCCCCAGCCCUUCCCCCAACACAACCCAGUAGGUGCUUCCUGGCUGCAAACUUGGGAAAGUCACUUGACCUGUCUGAGGUUCCACUUCCUAAUCUGGCCUGGCGAAGAUAAGAAAAACAGUUUAUUUAAAGUGUCUAGCAAAGUGCUUGGACCAAAAUAGGACCUCUGAAAUGGUUAUGGUAGUGCUGUUAAGGUGAUGUUUUAAGUGCUGAUGAGCACAAAGAUGGGUAAGAUAUUCCUUCUGUUAAAAUCUACAGUCUAAUGAGAGAGAACAAGAUGAAUGCACAAUAACUGUCAUUCAGAACAGGAUUAUGAGAAGGUGUGAAUUUCUGUGAAAAAUCAGAACAGGGAGUAAUAUGAUCCCAGGUGAUUGGCAGGGGGUGGGGGUCUGGAUUCAACUGGAGAGGGAGCUGGCAGGGAAGGCUUCCUGGAGGAUGAGAGUUCAACAAGGGGCAGGUGUAGGAUGUGGGUGGCCAAGUGACUGGGCAGAAGGAGCUGCAGAAGUAAGACCCCAAAUCAGGAAGACAAGGGCCUGCUGAGAAACACGAGCUACAAAGUGCAAGUGCAGGAAGAGUUGGGAUGAGAUUAGAAGGGGGUCUGGGGCCAGACUGUGGAAGGCCCAAAUGCCGGGCUAAGGAGUUUGUACUUAAUUCAGUGGUCAACGGGGAGUCAUUGGAGGCUGUUGAGCAGGAGAGUUGCUUUCUUUACAGCUGUGCCAGACUAAAUUAAACCUAAACAGUACUUUAUAGCUGGAAAGGGAAGGCCCAGGAAUAGCUCUUGACUCAGAAACAGGCAUUGGGGAAGGUAAUGAGAAACAGCCGUGACUGAUCAAAGCAGAGAGGUUAAUUAAAUUUGUAAUUAUUGUGAAAGGCCAUUAAAAACCCUAGUUCACUAGAGAUAACUGCUCUAGUGGGGCUUCAAAGACAAACGCUUCUUUUAACCUUGAAUAGGGGGAUGUUUGCUUCUCUGUGGAGGAGAUAUGAUUAAGAUACUUAAUAAAUGGUAGAUAAACAUGCACACGUGUGUGUUCUCUGUAAACCCACUCUUCGUCCCUGCAUAUAUCUGUGUAGCUAUGUAGGGUGCUCCACAAGAGGGGUCCCCAGCCCCCAGGCCAUAGAGCGUUAUGGGUCCAUGACCUAUUAGGAACCAGGCCACACAGCAGGAGUUGAGCAGAGGGCAAGCAAGCAAAGCUUCAUCUGUAUUUACAGUC